rnacentral:rRNA from 1 species
GAUGGCGACCGGCGCACGGGUGAGUAACACGUAUCCAACCUGCCGACAACACUGGGAUAGCCUUUCGAAAGAAAGAUUAAUACCGGAUGGCAUAGUUUUCCCGCAUGGGAUAAUUAUUAAAGAAUUUCGGUUGUCGAUGGGGAUGCGUUCCAUUAGGCAGUUGGCGGGGUAACGGCCCACCAAACCAACGAUGGAUAGGGGUUCUGAGAGGAAGGUCCCCCACAUUGGAACUGAGACACGGUCCAAACUCCUACGGGAGGCAGCAGUGAGGAAUAUUGGUCAAUGGACGAGAGUCUGAACCAGCCAAGUAGCGUGAAGGAUGACUGCCCUAUGGGUUGUAAACUUCUUUUAUACGGGAAUAAAGUUAGCCACGUGUGGCUUUUUGUAUGUACCGUAUGAAUAAGGAUCGGCUAACUCCGUGCCAGCAGCCGCGGUAAUACGGAGGAUCCGAGCGUUAUCCGGAUUUAUUGGGUUUAAAGGGAGCGUAGGCGGGUUGUUAAGUCAGUUGUGAAAGUUUGCGGCUCAACCGUAAAAUUGCAGUUGAUACUGGCGACCUUGAGUGCAACAGAGGUAGGCGGAAUUCGUGGUGUAGCGGUGAAAUGCUUAGAUAUCACGAAGAACUCCGAUUGCGAAGGCAGCUUACUGGAUUGUAACUGACGCUGAUGCUCGAAAGUGUGGGUAUCAAACAGGAUUAGAUACCCUGGUAGUCCACACAGUAAACGAUGAAUACUCGCUGUUGGCGAUAUACAGUCAGCGGCCAAGCGAAAGCAUUAAGUAUUCCACCUGGGGAGUACGCCGGCAACGGUGAAACUCAAAGGAAUUGACGGGGGCCCGCACAAGCGGAGGAACAUGUGGUUUAAUUCGAUGAUACGCGAGGAACCUUACCCGGGCUUAAAUUGCAACUGACUGAACCGGAAACGGUUCUUUCUUCGGACAGUUGUGAAGGUGCUGCAUGGUUGUCGUCAGCUCGUGCCGUGAGGUGUCGGCUUAAGUGCCAUAACGAGCGCAACCCUUAUCGAUAGUUACUAGCAGGUCAUGCUGAGGACUCUAUUGAGACUGCCGUCGUAAGAUGUGAGGAAGGUGGGGAUGACGUCAAAUCAGCACGGCCCUUACGUCCGGGGCUACACACGUGUUACAAUGGGGGGUACAGAAGGCAGCUACACGGCGACGUGGUGCUAAUCCCGAAAGCCUCUCUCAGUUCGGAUUGGAGUCUGCAACCCGACUCCAUGAAGCUGGAUUCGCUAGUAAUCGCGCAUCAGCCACGGCGCGGUGAAUACGUUCCCGGGCCUUGCACACACCGCCCGUCAAG